CAUGUUUCAUGUUCUCUCUCUUUUAUAGACUAGAAUCUUUAUUUAAAAUACAUUUGUACAUGGAGAAAACUGUUGUAACUCAUGUUGUAAUAUGUAUUCAUGAUGUGUUAAUAAUAACUCGCUCAUCAAAUCGUGUUAAAACUUUUUUUUUUUCUGAUAACUCGUGUUGUACUAUUGAGAGUGUAGUGUUGCGCACUUCUAAUGGUUGUUGUUUUAUAUAGGGAGAGAACGUCUGGAGUGAUCUGCAUGUGCUGGUAUUCUUUUUAUUUUCUGUUAAACAUGUAUGUUUCCGACUAGUUAUUUUGUGGUCUAAAAAAAAAUAUUGGAAAUUGUCAAAAUAAAAGGGGAAGCUGGAAGAAUUUACCAGUGAGGACAACGGCAUUUAAAUACUACUACUAUUAAACUGUAUCUGUUGGUAAUGUGGUUUCUUCUAGCAGUUUUCAAUCGCUAACGUUUAAUCGCUAACACCAGACUGAUGUGCUGUGACAGAGCGUUCAGUGCACACACGGCUAAUUUACAUAUUAAAUAUGUACAUUUUAAAUAAGCCCUGUUGUUUAAAUGUAAUAUAAACAGUUGGGCGGUUACUGCAGUCUGUCUGGGAUACAAAAAGUUAAAAAAAACUUUUAAGUUAAAAAAACUAAAAGCCUAGUCUUUAACCCAUUUUAUCUCCUGUGUGCGUUCAUGCCUGCAAGUCGAUAUUUAUUCUUUUCAAUGACCCAAUUAAAGUUUAUUGUAACGUAAGUACUACAUUUCAAACUACAGAAUGUUUGGCCAGUCAGAAACCGCAGUAUUGCCAUGCGGUCUAGUUUGACAAGCUGUUACGUCUGGUGUGAGAGUAGUAAGAGUUUUUAGCUUUCAAUCCAGUGAAAAAAUGUGGGUUGUUUGUUCAAUACUAGUACAUUACUAGCAAAGGGCGAUCAAGACGAAAUACCAUCAAAGAUUAAAAACGCCAAAAAUGUCUUGCGACUGAAGCUCUCUCCAAUUUCUCUGCCAUCAUCAGUGAUUUGUGUGGUAACAAGCAGGGACAUCCAUCACACUGAUACUAGAGUGCUGUGUAGGAAAGAAAUGUAUGGAAUAAAUACCAGGCAUGGAGGCGACAGACAGACAAGCCUCUAGUACCUCCAGGAUCAUUGUGGACCAUCAGUGAAUCAGUCUGAGGGCUUUCUCUGGGGAUUCAGGUAAUCCGAUCAAUUGACUAGCUCUGUUAAUACUUGUGGCAGGUACUGUAUCUAAACAAUAACGUUCAAUGUAGAAUGUAAUGUGGGUAUUUGGAACUGAUAAAUGGUAAGCAUUGUUAAAAUUUAAAACAUCUGGUCUCACCCUGAUAGCAUAACAGAGUAGUUAGUUUCAUGUUUACCUUCAUGCAUAACCCUUACAACCGAUCAUUACAUUUUCACUAGCAGGAAUAUGAAAACCCAUUAUAAGACAGGGUUAAGGAAAGACAAAGUGUCAACUGAAAGAGGCAAGGGGAAUAUAGGGAUCUGUGACAAAGAGAGUGAACUCUUGUUUUAGAUCUCCCUUCCGACGGAUGAGGGCACUGGGGAGGAGGAGCAGUCGGAGCCGCGGUGCGCAACGUCACAGACCCGGUCGGGAAGCGCGGUGGCAAUCACACAUUGGCUGACGGCGGUUGCCCUCGCUGACCAAUGGGGACAGGACGGGGCGUACAAAAGGGGGCGUGGCCCGGGGUUCUGUUCCUUCUGACAAAGUACAGUGUGUGUGUGUGAGAGAGAGAGAAACAGAGAUACAAACAGGGAAUUAAAGAGGGAGACGGGGAGCAAGGAAGCGGGUGGUUGUGAUUGUGCAUACCUGCUAACCUCUGUGUCUUUUUGUGUAUUUUAUAGAGCACUAACGGGACACUCCGGGAAUACGUCGGAGGAGUGCGAACCCGGAAGUGCUGGAUUUUUACCCCGUUGUUUUCAUUCCCGGAUCAAAGGGACGGAUUGACUUUAUUUUUGUGUUUCUCCUCGUUUGGGACUGCAACCCCUCGUUAUUGUUAUUUUGUCAGGUUACACAUUGCUGUGUACCCCGGCUCCCCUUUAUUUUGUUUAUUCUCCUUGACUUUUUGGUGCCCAUCUGAUGUUGGUUUUACAUUCAAUAAAACCGGGGGCUUGUUAAGGAAAA